CCUACGGGUGGCUGCAGUGGGGAAUAUUGGACAAUGGGGGGAACCCUGAUCCAGCCAUGCCGCGUGUGUGAAGAAGGCCCUCGGGUUGUAAAGCACUUUCAGUGAGGAAGAACGCCUGGUGGUUAAUACCCAUCAGGAAAGACAUCACUCACAGAAGAAGCACCGGCUAACUCCGUGCCAGCAGCCGCGGUAAUACGGAGGGUGCGAGCGUUAAUCGGAAUUACUGGGCGUAAAGCGCGCGUAGGUGGCUUGAUAAGCCGGUUGUGAAAGCCCCGGGCUCAACCUGGGAACGGCAUCCGGAACUGUCAAGCUAGAGUGCAGGAGAGGAAGGUAGAAUUCCCGGUGUAGGGGUGAAAUGCGUAGAGAUCGGGAGGAAUACCAGUGGCGAAGGCGGCCUUCUGGACUGAAACUGACACUGAGGUGCGAAAGCGUGGGUAGCAAACAGGAUUAGAUCCCUAGUAGUC
rnacentral:rRNA from 1 species